rnacentral:rRNA from 1 species
AUUAGAGUUUGAUCCUGGCUCAGGACGAACGCUGGCGGCAUGCUUUACACAUGCAAGUCGAACGGCAGCGGGGGCUUCGGCCUGCCGGCGAGUGGCGAACGGGUGAGUAAUGCAUCGGAACGUGCCCAUGUCGUGGGGGAUAACGUAGCGAAAGCUACGCUAAUACCGCAUACGCCCUGAGGGGGAAAGCGGGGGAUUCUUCGGAACCUCGCGCGAUUGGAGCGGCCGAUAUCAGAUUAGCUAGUUGGUGGGGUAAAAGCUCACCAAGGCGACGAUCUGUAGCGGGUCUGAGAGGAUGAUCCGCCACACUGGAACUGAGACACGGUCCAGACUCCUACGGGAGGCAGCAGUGGGGAAUUUUGGACAAUGGGGGCAACCCUGAUCCAGCCAUACCGCGUGAGUGAAGAAGGCCUUCGGGUUGUAAAGCUCUUUCAGCCGGGAAGAAAACGCAUUGGUUAAUACCUGAUGUGGAUGACGGUACCGGAAUAAGAAGCACCGGCUAAGUUCGUGCCAGCAGCCGCGGUAAUAAU